AUUCAUAUUUUCUACAUUUCUUUCGGAUGUUUGAUGAUAUAUCUGAACUUAUUCAUAAACCUACCUUUGAUGUUAGGCUCAAUUAUUCCUAAAUUUGGUGUUGACUAUCCCACGAUUUCAAGCUGACUAUCCCACGAGACAAUUUCUCGACCCAACCAACAAUGGUUCAUAGAAUUUGGGUGUAUUCUCCCGUUGCAACGCAGGGCACCUUUACUAUAUGUCGAGUUAUGGUUUCAUGAUAAACGGAGCACGCACCAAAUUUUGAUGAAUUGCUUGAAGAAAAUGCAUCGGGUCUUUUCUUGCGUCCUUCAAGUCUUCAACCAGGAUACAUUUCUAGAGCUAAAAUUUCAGGGCAUCAAGAAGUAAUUAACUAUGCUUCAAAAGUUAUUGAGCUGCAGAUAUGGCAUGUGCGUACACGAAGACCUGAUGCAUCAAAGCUCGGUGUGGACACACCUCUUCUUACAGGACAGAUGUUGAUUUUUCAUUUCCUUCCAACGCCAUUAAAUCCCAGUCUUAUCUAAUUUGAAAUGUCUCCAGCGUGUGUGAUGUAUCCCUCCCCUCAGCUUUUGGACGAACAUGGUGCU